rnacentral:lncRNA from 1 species
AUUUGCAAACCGUGCAUCCUAUUCCGGUGAUCUUUAUAUCGAUUUCAACCGAAAUCUUCUCAUCUUUCCAGCGGCAUACUUGGUUUGCCAAGUUGAUGCCUGGUUCAUCAUUUUCCUUCCGGAGCAUACAUAUGCAUUGCAUAUCACAUCUCGCAUAGCAUGUCAUGUAUUGCAUCAUAUUGCUUGUGCAUUGUUCCUUGUUUGAUUGUGGUUCCGUUGCUUGUGUUCUUGCUUUGGGUAGAGCUGGGAGACGAGUACGUGUACGAGGAACCUGUUGAGAACGCCUACGAGGAUCAAGCCUUCGACAACUCUGAGAACCUUGCAGGCAAGAUGACCAUACCUUCGAUAUCACUUCUAUCUUUGCUUGCUAGAUGCUCGCUCUUUUGCUAUGCCUAUGCUGCGAUACCUACCACUUGCUAUAUCAUGUCACCCAUAUUGCCAUGUCAACCUCUAACCAUCCUUUCCUAGCAAACCGUUGAUUGGCUAUGUUACCGCUUUGCUCAGCCCCUCUUAUAGCGUUGCUAGUUGCAGGUGAAGAUGAAGUUUGUUUCUUGUUGGAACACGGAUAUUUUGGGAUAUCACAAUAUCUAUUGUUUUAAUUAAUGCAUCUAUAUACUUGGUAAAGGGUGGAAGGCUCGGCCUUAUGCCUGGUGUUUUGUUCCACUCUUGCCGCCCUAGUUUCCGUCAUACCGGUGUUAUGUUCCCGGAUUUUGCGUUCCUUACGCGGUCGGGUGAUUUAUGGGACCCCCCUGACAGUUCGCUUUGAAUAAAACUUGUCCAGCAAGGCCCAACCUUGGUUUUACCAUUUGCCUCACCUAGCCCUUUUUUUCCCUUGGGUUUCCGGAGCCCGAGGGUCAUCUUUAUUUUACCCCCCGGGCCAGUGCUCCUUGGAGUGUUGGUCCAACCUGAGCGAUGUCCGGUGCCCCCUGGGCAACCAGGGUCUAUGCCAACCCGUCGUCUUGCUCAUCCGGUGUGCCCUGAGAACGAGAUAUGUGCAGCUCCUAUCGGGAUUUGUCGGCACAUCGGGCGGCUUUGCUGGUCUUGUUUUACCAUUGUCGAAAUGUCUUGAUGUACCGGGAUACCGAGUCUGAUCGAAGUGUCUCGGGUGAAGGUCUAUUCCUUCGUUGAUCGCGAGAGCUUGUUAUGGGCUAAGUUGGGACACCCCUGCAGGGUAUAAACUUUCGAGAGCCGUGCCCGUGGUUAUGUGGCAGAUGGGAAUUUGUUAAUGUCCGGUUGUAGAAAACCCGAAGUUGACCUUAAUUAAAAUACAUCAACCGAGUGUGUUACCGUGAUGGUCUCUUCUCGGCGGAGUCCGGGAAGUGAACACGGUGUUGGAGUUAUGUUUGACGUAAGUAGUUUCAGGAUCACUUCUUGAUCGCUACUAGCUUCACGACCGUGCCUUGCUUCUCUUCUCGCUCUCUUUUGCGAUGUAGCCACCAUAUAUGCUAGUCGCUUGCUGCAGCUCCACCUCUUUACACCAGCCUUCCCUUAAGCUUAAAUAGUCUUGAUCUCGCGGGUGUGAGAUUGCUGAGUCCCCGUGGCUCACAGAUUCUACCAAAACAGAUGCAGGUACCGACGAUACCAGCGUAGAUGGCGCAACUGAGCUGAAGUGGGAAUUUGAUGAGGCCCUUGGUCGUUACUAUGUUUCAUUUCCAGACGAUUAGUAGUGGAGCCCAGUUGGGGCGAUCGGGGAUCUGUGUUGCAUUUGGGGUAUUCUUCUUUUAUUUUGGUUUCGUAGUCGGACCUUGAGUGUAAUCUGAAUGAUGGAUGUUUAUUUAUGUAUUGUGUGAAGUGGCGACUGUAAGCCAACUAUGUAUCUUUUCCCUUAUGUAUUACAUGGAUUGUGCGAAGAUUACCUCACUUGCGACAUUGCUUUCAAUGCGGUUAUGCCUCUAGGUCGUGCUUCGACACGUGGGAGAUAUAGCCGCAUCGAGAGCGUUACAAGUUGGUAAUCAGAGCCAUCCCCGACCUUAGGAGCCCCCACUGCUUGAUCGUUUUUAGCGGCCGAGUUGUGUCUAGAAAAAUGUUUUGAGUCAUUUAGGAUUAUAUAUAUCGGAGAGUUAGGAAUUCUUUUACUCCUCAGUCCCUUCGUCGCUCUGGUGAGGUCUCCUGACGUAGAAGUUUUGACUUUCCUCUCCUCAAAUUUCACUAAAAUUUUUUUUAGGAUCACGCGGGUAUCUUAGAAUCGUUCCGAUUGUUUUAUGAUGACAACAUUGUCUUGGUGCCUCCCGUCAGCAGGGGUUUAGUGGAGGUGUCCCGGGGAGUUGAGCUCUGAGGUGUUGUCGUCAUAAUUUUAUCGUUGCAAUUCUGGAAUACCUGAGUUUAGUACGCCGACAUUGAAAAUCUCUUUUAUGCAGUCCGUUGGUGAGAUAACCCCGCUAACCCAGUACUGAGGUGAGUACGGGAGUAUUGCCAUGACUCGCAUAACGGAUGCUUUUCGAAGGUUGAGGUACACGAUUUCCGAAGGUUUCUUGGUUAUGUGUUGAAGGAUGGAUACAGCUGGAUGUAGGGAUUGUUAGUUUGGGUGAGAUAUAUUGCUUCCCCUGUAUCCCCAACACCUGAUUGCAUAACCGGAAAGUUUCGGGAGUUUAUAGGUGGGAUUCAAGUAGCUCUAGCACUUCUUCCGCAGAUAUUUGGUUUGUGAUUGGGUAAUCCUUACCACUUAUUUGUUCCAUUCAUACCUUGUUUUUAUUUUUAUUCAUCAAUCUCUUAUCAAAUGGCUUCUCACCUUUAUGGACGUGAUGUUUACUUUGGAAUUCAUUCGUUCAUCCCUGUUCGAAUGUUUAUUGUGAAGACUAUAUGUUGCAAUUUCUAUCCAUUGAUUCAAAUUGUCUAUCUGUCUAUCAAGAUGCUAACGGAUGUCACCCUCUUCAGGAUGGCUCCGCCAACGCGUCAGAAUCCGGAACGCAGUGAUGGGAGUCAGGCGAACCCUCCACCUCCACCUCCGCCUCCGGAGGCAUGGCAAACUUUGAUGGCAACCACUAACGCCAACGCUCAGUUGUUGAUCCAGCUGAUGCAAGAGCGUAACCAAGGCCAAGGCAACCAAGGGAAUCAAGGUCAAGGGCAGUUCUUCCAUCAGCCACAGUUUCCUACCCUCAACCAGUUCCUGGCAAAUCAGCCAAAGUCUUUCAGCUACUGUGUCGAGGCCACAGACGCCGACGAUUGGCUCGUGGAUAUCAACAAGCAUUUCGAAUGCAGCAAUGUCAGACCUGAGGACUACGUCAAGUUCACGUCUUUUCAGCACAAGGAUCAGGCAGCUGAUUGGUUCCAGCAAUACAAGGAUUCCAGAGGUGGUCGACUGAUUACUUGGACUGACUUCUGUCGGGACUUUAAAGCUCACCACAUUCCUACCAGUGUUGUUGAGAGCAAGCGUGAGGAGUUCCGCAAUCUCAAGAAAGGAAACAUGUCAGUGUACGAAUACAACAUACAGUUUCAGAAACUUGCUCGCUUCGCUAAACAAGACGUUCCUGACGAAAAGAGUAUGAUCUAUCAGUUCAGAGGUGGCCUUAGAGAGGAUCUGCAGUUAGCUCUUGUUCUUAUUGAGCCUACUCAGUUUGAUCAAUUCUAUAAUAUGGCACUCAAGCAAGAAGGUGCUCAGCUCAAGUGUGAGGCUUCAAAGAAGAGAAUCAGGGAUGCAGUUCAGUCUUCUUCCUCUCAAGGUGCAGCUAAGCAGCAAAAGUUCUACCUUCCUCCUCCGUUUCGUCAGCCUUAUCAGCAGAAGAACUCAGGUGGUCGUGGAUCUUCCCACCCACCCAACCCAAGCUACCAGAACAAGUCUCAGCCUCAAGUUCUCGGGAUGGACUGGCUUUCUCAGCACAAGGCUCAGCUUGAUUGUGCUGCCAGGCAAAUUCAAUUGACACACCCUUCUGAGGAUGUUAUCAUCUAUGCCGCUCGUGUUGAAACCAUUCGGUUGUUUUCUCUCAAUGAGAAGGGCGAGUUGGAUGCUAUCUCACAAAUUCCAGUCGUUUGUGAGUACCAAGAUGUCUUUCCAGAAGAGCUUCCGGGUAUGCCUCCGCAUCGGCCAGUCGAAUUCGUUAUCGAUCUUGAGCCUGGCACUGAACUCGUUUGCAAGUGUCCUUACAAGCUUGGACCCAAGGAGCUGAAAGAAUUGAAGAAGCAUCUCGAUGAACAAGAGCGUCUGGGUUUGAUCAGACCGAGUUCAUCUCCAUGGGGAUGUGGAGUUCUUUUUGUCCAGAAGAAGGAUGGCACGGACCGACUUUGCGUCGAUUACCGUCCAUUGAACAAGAAGACAAUCAAGAACAAGUAUCCACUUCCCAACAUCAAUGAGCUAUUCGAGCAACUCAAAGGUGCUAAAGUAUUCUCCAAGCUUGACCUCCAUAUGGGUUAUCAUCAGAUUCGCAUUCGUGAACAAGAUAUUCCCAAGACAGCAUUCAGAACAAGCUUUGGUUCUUAUGAAUAUACUGUCAUGUCUUUCGGCCUUGUCAAUGCUCCUCCAACAUUCUCUUGCAUGAUGAACUUUAUCUUCAACCCCUACACCAAUGAUUUCGUCUUGGUGUAUCUCGAUGAUAUUUUGGUCUUCUCCAAGAACAAGCAGGAUCAUGCCAAACAUUUGUGAUUGGUACUCGACAAGCUCAGAGAACAUCAAUUCUAUGCGAAGUUUUCCAAAUGUGAGUUCUGGCUUGAUGAAGUUCUUUAUCUUGGUCAUAUCAUCUCUGCCAAGGGAAUUGCUGUUAAUCCGGCGAAGGUUUCUGCGGUUCUGGAUUGGGAACCUCCUCAGAAUGUCAAGCAACUCCGCAGUUUUCUUGGGCUUGCAAGCUAUUGCCGAAGAUUCGUUGAGAACUUCUCUAAGAUUGCAAAGCCUCUUUCCAACCUCCUCCAGAAGCAUGUCAAGUAUGUAUGGAUGCCUGAGUGUGAUGUCGCUUUCAACACCCUCAAAGAGAAGCUAGUUACAGCUCCUGUCUUGACUCCUCCUGAUGAAUCCAAGCCAUUCGAAGUUUUCUGUGAUGCUUCCUUGCAAGGACUCGGUGCUGUGUUAAUGCAAGAGAAGAAAGUUGUGGCCUAUAUCUCUCGCCAGUUGAAUCCCAACGAAAAGAACUACCCCACUCACGAUCUUGAGUUGGCGGCAGUUGUCCAUGCAUUGAUAACAUGGAGACAUCUCUUGUUGGGAAGGAAAGUGGACAUUUUCACCGAUCACAAGAGUCUCAAGUAUAUCUUUGUCGGUGUACUAAAGUAGGGGGUACCUUAGUACCCCGAACUUGUGCACGGGCAGUCGCAGCACCCCCGUGGCGGGGCUUGCCGGGCGCCCGGCAAGGCCCUCCACUCUUUAGUACUGCCAUUCAGGAACAAAGUACUAGCCAAGAACACGAAGGCCCCGGCAAGAGGAGCUUGCUGGGGAGGCCAACCAGGGCAUCACCAGAAGACUUGCCGCGGCGCCCCGCGCGCCCCGGCAAGGCCCGGCGGCCGGCAAGCUUGCCGGCACAACAAGAAAAGGGCCGCGGCAAGGCACUUGCCGCGGCAAGGCUGCCACCCGAACUCCAGCGCACCCGGCGACGUGUCGUUACAAGGCCAUCCCAAGGGCACGUGGUGAGGCGCUACGCAGCCAUGCGGAGCGAGGUGGCAAAUGGAGCUGACAGAGGCGCCAUCGUGGCAACCAGUGGCUCACCUAACGGUCGUUUCUUUACACUCUUGGGGCGACCAGACGGGCAUUUAAUGCCCUUGUCCCCUACCGUCAGAGUUAGGUAGGGGCACUGUUGUGCACUGUUGUACCAACACGCGUUUUUACCUUUCUACCCCCUCUUCCUACGCUGCCACCUGUGGGUCCCCCCUUCAGACUAUAAAAGGGAGGCCCAUGCGCACGUAGAAGGGGUUCGGUCCAUUCGACACCCACAUAACCACCAUACGCUCGCACGCUCGAGCAAGAUCAAAUAACAAACACAAAGCAGCAGUAGGGGUGUUAUCUCUCCGGAGAGCCCCGAAGCUGGGUAAAGAUUGCCCGUCUCCCCGCGCGCGCUCGACCUCGAUCUGCUCUGCGCACGAUCCCCGCUCCCUUGCCGAACCAGAAGGGGCCCCCAGUGCCCCAUAGGUGCUCGAGGCCACAGAGAUACGCCCCGACAUCUUUGGCGCGCCAGGUAGGGGGGCGUCGAGGUCGUGAGCACCUGAUCCGGUCUCCACGCGCGCUACAACAACAUCAUCGUCAACAUGCCACCGAAGAAGAAGCCUUCGGAGGUGGCUGCUCCAUCUACAUCGAUUCCGCCACCACCGCUGGAGCAAACAGGCGGUGGAGUGGACGCCGGCGGAGGAGCGGGCGCCGCCGGUGGGUCUCGUGUCGUCACCAGAUCCAAAAACAAGGCCCCGCAAGCGUCGGCGACCGAGCAGACACCGCACCCUUCCCAGGAGGUGCAAGGUCAACAACGCCCCGGUGCUCCUAGCACCGUGCUCGCAUUGGAACAAGGCCAAGCUGGUGGGUCGCAGGACGCUCGAGGUCAGCAUGCACGCCCGCAUGCUGGCGCGAGCGAGAUACGGUCGCCCGGACGGGGUGAUGCACCUCCCAAUCCAGUUGGGAGUCCGAGCACAUCUCGCUCCUCGCGCCGUUCGUCACCACCGCCACCCAAGACAGCAGAGGAAGCGCUGGCCCGAGCCCAGCUGCUUCUAGACUACCCUCCGGCGCCGCACAAGAUCGACGACUGGAGGAUGACCAUUUACAGCCUCAUCGGCUUCGCCAACGGCGACAAACCCCGGCGACCGAGCGCGUCGAGGCCCCGGCAAGGCGCCCAGGCACAAGCCGACGCCGACAAGACCGCUGGGGGUGCCACCUCUAUGCACUCCCAGCCCCGAAGGCCAAGAUCGCCAGCUCGCCGUACCAACCCCGACGGCGACUCCACCGCGUCGUCGGACCCGUGAACUCGCCGCGAUCAACGCCAUGUUCUCCAAGAACGACAACACGAAUACGCUCGCACUCGCAUCGAGCGCCGGAGAGAAGCGCGACGUCAAUCUGACCAGCGCGCUGGGCCCGCUGUCGACGCGCACGCACCCGGAGAACCAGGCGACUUGUCGUACGCGGCAGGUUGCCCUGCAUUCACCCGCGAGCUGCGGCAAGUCCAGUGGCCCAAAACCAAGAACUUCAAGCCAGACGUGCCCGAGAAGUACGACGGCAGGAUACACCCGUCGGAGUUCCUCAGCAUCUACACCAUCGCGGUGCAGGCUGCCGGAGGGCGCGAGGAGAAGAUCCUCGCCAACUACUUCCCGCUGGUACUCAAGCCUAACGUCAGAUCUUGGCUCAUGCACUUGCCGGACGGCUCCAUCUCUUCAUGGGCGGACCUGUGUCAUCAGCUUGUCGGCGCCUUCACGGGUGGCCACAAGCCUCAUGGCCAGGAGAGUGACCUCCACUUGCUCGUCCAGAAGGAGGAGGAGCCCCUGCGCAAGUACAUACAAAGAUUCAGCCAGGUGCAGCGCAACAUCCCAGACGUCCACCCUGCCGCGGUUAUUAGCGCGUUUCAUCAGAACGUGCGUAAUCGCAGGAUGAGGGAGGAGAUGGCGAUGAGCAAGAUCAGAGAUGUCAGCGAGCUCUACGCUCUGGCCGACAAGUGUGCACGGGCUGAGGAGGGGAGGAAAAUCCCCGGAGAGGUUGCCGGAGCAGAAGGAUCUGACAGUGAGGAUGCCGCCCCGGCAAGGAAGAACCGGAGGCGGAACAAUAGGAAGAGAAAAGCUAAGGAUGUAUUGGCUGUUGAGCAUUCCGGCAACGGAGGCGGCUCCGACAAGGCCAAAACCGACGACUCCGGCGAGGCUGUGGCAGCCGCCGACAAGCAGGACGGCUCCGGCAAGCGAUAUUGCAAGAUCCACCGCACCAAGGGCCAUGACCUCCAAACCUGCAAAAAAGUAGAGCAGAUGGCGGAGCUGCAAAAAGCUAAGUAUGAGCACCGCGAUAAGGAGAGAGCCCAGGGAGGUGGCGGAGGGUCCGGCAAGAAGCUUCCCGCCCGGGGGGACACCGCGGCAAGGCUAAGCCGCGGCAAGGAGACAGGCCUCCCCGCGGCCGCGACAAGGACGAAGAUGAAGAUGAGGAUGAAGAGAUGGAGGAAGAUGAGGCUGAUGAUCAAGAGUUUCAGAAGGCGACAGAAGUGUUGUGCAUCGACGGCAGCGCCUCCCUGCACACCUCGCACCGCCAACUCAAACAGUGGGUGCGAGAAGUGAAUGCAGCGGAGCCAUCCGUCGAGGCACGCAGGCCUCUGAAGUGGUCCAGCACGCCCAUCGUCUUCGACGUUGAGGACCACCCUGAUCGCAUCACUGCGGUCGGGUGCUUGCCGAUGUUGGUCUCACCAACAAUCCGCAACCUCAAGGUCACGAAGAUGCUGGUUGACGGCGGGGCCGGCCUGAAUUUGAUUUCCUCCGUAGUGCUCAAGAAGCUCCAGAUCCCCGACAGCGAGCUCGAAGAAACUGGUGCCUUUCAAGGAAUAAAUCCGGGAAGGAGCAAGCCCAAGGGGAAGAUCACAUUGCCAGUGACGUUCGGAAGCGAACUGAACUUCAGGACUGAGAGGGUCACGUCCGAUGUGGCUGAUAUCCCCUUACCCUACAACGGGAUACUCGGCCGACCCGCACUCGCCAAGUUCAUGGCGGCCUCUCACUACGCGUACAAUGUGCUCAAGAUGCCCGGCACGAUGAGUGUCAUUUCUGUCCAAGGCGACAAGAGGGAUGCACUCAUCUGCACCGACAAGAUCUACCGGGAAGCAGCGGCCGCAGCAGAGCGCGAGCCACUUGCCGUUGAAGCUCCCCGGGGGAAGAAGAAAGCCAAGUACGGCAAGGAUAGCUCUGGUGCUCACUCCGGCAAACGCACCUUCCCGGAGCGCUGCGCUGCCGUCGAGGACACACCAUCGAGCUCCGCCGGCAAUUACAAGAAGGCAAAGAUAACCUCGCCGGAGACCAAAAAGGUGGCCGCCAAGGAGGACGGCACUGGUGGUACUUUCACCAUCAGUGCCACGCUUGAUCCUAAAUAGGAAAGCGCGCUCGUUGCUUUCCUGCGGGCGAAUGUCAAUGUGUUUGCAUGGCAACCAUCUGACAUCCCCGGCGUUCCCAGGGAAGUAAUCGAGCACCACCUUGCCGUCUGCCCUCACGCGCGGCCCGUCAAGCAAAAAGUCAGGAAGCAAGCAAUAGAGCGUCAAGAGUUCAUAGCAGAGGAGAUCAAGAAGUUGGAAGCAGCAGGCCUGAGCCGAGGAGUACUCCAUCCAACGUGGUUAGCCAAUCCCGUAGUCGUGCGCAAAGCAAACGGGAAGUGGAGGCUUUGUAUUGACUUCACCGAUGUGAACAAAGCUUGUCCCAAGGAUCCAUUUCCCUUGCCGCGCAUUGACCAGAUUGUCGACUCCACAGCAGGAUGUGAUCUGCUUUCAUUCCUUGAUGCAUACUCGGGAUAUCAUCAGAUCUUCAUGGCUGAAGAGGACGAAGAGAAGACCGCGUUCAUUACUCCAUGUGGCACGUACUGUUUCGUACGGAUGCCUUUCGGACUAAAGAAUGCUGGUUCGACAUUUGUGAGAGUGGUCAGUCAUGCUUUUGAGCCACAACUACACAGAAAUGUAGAAGCUUACAUGGAUGACAUAGUGGUCAAGAGCAAGGACAAAGAGACUUUGAUCCAAGACUUGGACGAGACUUUCACAGAUAUGCGCAAGAUCAACCUCAAGUUGAAUCCCGAGAAGUGCGUGUUCGGAGUUCCUUCCGGCAAGCUUCUCAGAUUCUUUGUGUCACAGAGGGGGAUUGAAGCCAAUCCCGACAAGAUCAGGGCCAUCGAGCAAAUCGAAGCACCGAAGCGGGUCAAGGACGUACGAAAGCUUGCCGGCUGCGUUGCUGCCCUCAGCAGGUUCAUUUCCAAGUCCGCUGAGCGCGCCCUGCCGUUUUUCAAAAUCUUGAAAAAGGCAGACCCGAUGAGAUGGACUCCGGAAGCGGAGGCUGCGCUGCAGGACUUGAAGAAAUAUUUGUCCUCCACUCCAACACUUGUCGCGCCUAAGCCACAAGAGAAGUUGCUGCUAUAUCUGGCGGCAACUAAUCAAGUGGUUAGUGCUGCGUUGGUGGCGGAGAGAGAGGCAGAUGACGAGCCAGCGGCCGCGGCAAGCAAGUCCAACGACAAGCAGGGGGCUUCCCCGACAGGCUCUGGCCCGACAAGCCCUGAUCCGGCAAGUUCUGGUUCCGGCAAGGAUGCGCCUGCGCAGCCACAAGAAGAAAAGCAGAAGAAGAUGGUGCAGCGUCCAGUUUACUUUGUCAGUUCCCUUCUGCAGGGGGCUAGAUCAAGGUACUCUGGUGUGCAGAAGUUGCUUUUUGGCCUCCUCAUGGCCUCGAGGAAGCUGCGCCAUUACUUUCAAGCACAUGAGAUCACAGUGGUCACUCGCUUUCCGCUGAAGAGGAUGUUACAGAAUCUGGAAGCGACAGGCAGGAUUGUCGAGUGGGCACUGGAAUUAUCAAGCUUUGGCCUCAAGUUUGAAAGUACUUCAACCAUUCAGAGCCGAGCAUUGGCAAAAUUUAUAGCAGAAUGGAUGCCAACACCCGACGGAGAAACUCCGGAGGGGAGCAUCCCCGUCAAGGAAGCAGACAAAGAAUGGAUCAUGUACUUUGAUGGUGCCUUCUCGCUGCAAGGCGCUGGCGCGGGCGUACUACUUGUCGCACCCACCGGGGAGCACCUCAAGUACAUGGUCCAGAUGCACUUUCCCAAGGAGCAAGCAACCAACAAUACUGCAGAAUAUGAGGGCUUGCUUGCCGGACUCAGGAUCGCGGCAGAACUUGGGAUCAGGAAGCUUAUUGUAAGGGGUGACUCACAGCUUAUCGUCCGCCAAGUUAACAAAGAUUAUCAGAGUCCGUUGAUGGAAGCGUACGUUGAUGAAGUGAGGAAGCUAGAAGAACAUUUUGACGGCCUGCAAAUGGAACAUGUUCCAAGAGCUCAGAAUGACAUUGCAGAUAGCCUGUCAAAGUGCGCCGCACUCAAGUUGCCUGUGGAACCAGGGAUUUUUGUGCUCAAACUAACUCAGCCGUCAGUGACACCAUCAACUAGACAAAGCAAGAAAAGAAAGUUGGUUAUUGGCGACUACUUUCCGACAGAGCUUCCCGAAGCCGCCGCCAAGAAGGUCCCCAGGAUCAACACAGAAAGUGCUGAGGAGCGAUCUGCUCCGGCAAGCCCCAGGGUCUGUUUCGUUGAGGCAGGCGCUCCCGACAAGCUGUGUCCCGACACGCUUGCUGGGGAGCAUCACGCUCCGGCCGGAUCCCAGAUCCUUGCCGUGGAAGCGGAUGUUCCCGCAGAAGCAUUUGCGCCUUUAGUCCUUGCCGUCGAGCCUCAGGCUCCGGCAUGGGCACAGCAAAUCGUCCAUUUCCUUCAAACAGGGGAACUUCCCGAGGAACAAGAAGAAGCAGAGAGAGUAGCCCGACAAUCGAGUAUGUACCAGUUUGUCGAUGGCAUAUUGUACAGAAGAAGAUUCAACGGAGUGAAAUUAAAGUGCAUUUCCCGGGAAGAUGGACGGCAGCUGUUGGCGGAGAUACAUGGAGGCAUAUGUGGUCACCACAUUGGCGCAAGAGCACUUGCCGGCAAGCCUUUCCGGCAAGGCUUCUUCUGGCCGACAGCCCUCCAGGAUGCAACUGCACAAGUAACCAAGUGUGAAGCGUGCCAGUUCCACUCCAAACAGAUUCACCAACCAGCUCAAGCUCUCCAAACAAUCCCUUUAUCCUGGCCAUUUUCGGCUGGGGCUCGACAUCCUCGGCCCUUUUCCCCGAGCUGUCGGGGGCUUUGAGUACUUGUACAUUGCAAUCGACAAGUUCACAAAGUGGCCUGAAGUGGAACCAGUGAGGAAGGUGACAGCACAGUCAGCAGUCAAGUUCUUCAGGUCAAUUGUUUGCCGUUUCGGAAUCCCCAACAGGAUCAUCACCGACAAUGGCACACAAUUCACGAGCCACACCUUCAUGCAGUACGCCCAAGAUCUUGGCACCAAGAUUUGCUUUGCUUCUGUUGCUCACCCGAGAAGCAACGGUCAAGUGGAGAGGGCGAACGCUGAAGUGCUGCGCGGGCUCAAGACCAGAACUUUCGAUAGGCUGCACAAGUGCGGAAGAAAUUGGAUCGAGCAGCUGCCGGUGGUUCUUUGGUCGAUCAGGACGACGCCAAAUCGAGCCACCAGCCAGACACCCUUUGCUCUCGUCUACGGAGCAGAGGCAGUUCUCCCCACGGAACUCGUAUACGGGUCACCACGAGUGCUCGCUUAUGAUGAGCUUGAGCAAGAGCAGCUGCGACAAGAUGACACGCUGCUCCUCGAGGAGGAUCGUCUUCAGGCUGCUGUGCGAGCUACUCGUUACCAGCAAACUUUGCGCCGCUAUCAUAGCCGCAAAGUUAACGCCAGAAGCUUCGAGGAAGGCGACCUUGUUCUUCGGUGAGUUCAAUCGGCCAAGAAUUCAAACAAGUUGACGCCAAAGUGGGAAGGCCCUUACCGGGUGAAACGAGUCACUAGGCCCGGCGCUGUCCGCCUUGAGACCGAAGAUGGCGUUCCAGUGAGCAACUCCUGGAACAUAGAACAUCUUCGCAAGUUUUACCCAUAAGGCGCGGUUACCGGACCCAUUCCGGCAACCACCUUCUUCUGUACAAGCAUUGCCGCUGUCGCAUAUAACCCUUUGUACAAAGCCGGGCGCAGCCCCCGUGCGUAAAUAAAGUUCACGUGCUUCGCACAUCUUGUCAAAUUUAAUGCAUUAUCUUCUUUUUGCAUCUGUAUCUGACACUCUGUGCAGCACAUAACCCCCGGUAAGCAAUAGCGAACCUUAAGGUUCCAUACGAUUAUUUUCUCUUCUUUCUUCUCAUAGACAGAAGAUUCCUCCGCCCACAAGUUCACCGGGGGGAAGGGAAGGUAGAAGUAUGGAACAGGCGACGUUCAAAGGAAUCUAGCCUUGCCGGGACACAGAAGACAGAAAAGCUAAGUAGCCAAAGAUUGAACCUAGUCAAUUUUAAAUUUUCAAGUUAUAUCCCUUGAACGUUCGUGCCUUGUAUGGAAAACCUGUGCGCGGAGGAAUCGACUCGCGACCAAGUUGCGCCCUUGCGUUGUUUCUGAGCCCGCUCAACAAUGCGAGUGGACUGCAACUAGUCCCGACAAGAUUUCUUGCCGGAAGAAGCGUCACCACAAGCUGCUGAUGUUCCGCACUCAGCAAGUGUGCUCGCACCGGCAAGGUCCCUCAACGCGUAGGGCAAAAAGCAUACAAGGGAUGCAACAGAAUAAAGGGAAUAGCGCGGCAAGCAGUAUCCAUAAUUAAGUUAUAUUACAAGAAUGACUUAUUAUGGCACUAACUGAAAUUGUUCCCGUAACCAAAAUGGCAGCAGCAAGAAAAGGGGAGAAGAGGAGCAGCCUAAUCUACGCGCUCGCCAUCGAGCCUCCUGACCUCGUUCACUUUGUCCAUGAUGGGUGCGACGAUGGCCUUGAGCUCCUCAACAUCAGCACCCUCCGGCAGCUUCUUGGUGACAUGGGAGAGGUCGAUGCCCGGGUUGCGGAAGAGGACCUUCACCAACACCUUCUCCAGGACCCCGGCGCAGACGGCGCGCGACUCGGCGGCCAACUGCUUCGGGAUCCUUUCCCAGAGCUGCCGUAGCGCCGUCACCACGUCCUUGAAGAAAAGCGUGAGCUUAGCGCUGGGCUGGAGGUUCGCUUCUGUGGAAUACCCGAAGCCCGUCAAGUCCAGCUCCGCCAACUCCUCGUCAAUGAGCGUGGCGAUGUUGACGAGGCCUUCCGUCCAGAGCUCCACUGUGGUUUUAAGGGUGUUCUGAGCCUUGGCGGCCCUCGUCAACAGCUCCUCGUUGUCCUUGAGGUCCUUCCUCAGGGUAUCUUCUCGUUUCUUGGCGGCGUCCAGCGUCUCCGUCAAGGUGGCCAGUUUCAGCUCCAGAUCAGCACUCGAGUCCUUGACGGCGUUCAGCUCUUUGAUCCUCUCAGAGAGUUGGGCUUGCAGAUCGCCGUGGGCGCGCGCAUCCUCCUCACGAUCGCGCUGGAGUGCGGCAAGCUCCUCGUUCUUCCUCGUCGCGUCCGCCUCCAGCCGCGUCGCUUUUUCCUCCAACUCCUUCUUGGCGGCCUCGGCAGCCGCGGCGGCGUCUUUCGCUUCCUUGAGCGCCCCGCCAAGUGACUGUUCCCGGCCGGCGAGCUCCUCGUCGUGGCUGUCCAAGUACGCUUUCCUUUGUAUCAGCUCGCCGUCCCGCUUGGACAGCUCCUCGGCGGCAAGCCUCUGCUGCUCCUCGGCUUUAGCCUUUUCCAGGAUGAACGCCUUCUUCGCCUCGUCGAGCUGCGCAUCUGGGGUGAGCUCAGGAGGGAAAAGCACCCGCCUCUUGCGCAGCGCCUCGAGCUCUUGUGCCUCGGUCGAUUUCUCGGCCUUCGCGGCCUUCGUAGCCUUCCCGGCCUUCGGGGCCAUGGCGGGGGCAGCGGGGGGAGGCAGAAGCGGCGGCAGCGACGGCGGCUAUGGGCGGCAGAAGCGCUAUUUCUUUUUCUCGAUUCAGGAGACGGAGGAGGGCGUCGGAGCUUUCGGAGGAAGGAACCGCAAAUGGCGAAAGUGGGGGAACGGCCCUGUUCCCUCCGCUUAUAAACAGAGGAUGCGAACAUUACGCAUUCUCUGGAAUUAAGCGCCACCCACGUCUCCCACGACGCCGCAAUCGACGCGUGCCGUUGCGGGGGAGCGCGGUGGACACGGAGCCCGUUGCUGUGCGGACCCAGGCCACGUGUGCCCGUGCACUGUUUUGUGCCUGGCCCAACAACGCUCGGCACCGUGUAUGGCCCAGGCCCGGGGGCUCCUGUCGGUGUACUAAAGUAGGGGGUACCUUAGUACCCCGAACUUGUGCACGGGCAGUCGCAGCACCCCCGCGGCGGGGCUUGCCGGGCGCCCGGCAAGGCCCUCCACUCUUUAGUACUGCCAUUCAAGAACAAAGUACUAGCCAAGAACACGAAGGCCCCGGCAAGAGGAGCUUGCCGGGGAGGCCAACCAGGUCAUCACCAGAAGACUUGCCGUGGCGCCCCGCGCGCCCCGGCAAGGCCCGGCGGCCGGCAAGCUUGCCGGCACAACAAGAAAAGGGCCGCGGCAAGGCACUUGCCGCGGCAAGGCUGCCACCCGAACUCCAGCGCACCCGGCGACGUGUCGUUACAAGGCCAUCCCAAGGGCACGUGGCGAGGCGCUACGCAGCCAUGCGGAGCGAGGUGGCAAAUGGAGCUGACAGAGGCGCCAUCGUGGCAACCAGUGGCUCACCUAACGGUUGUUUCUUUACACUUUUGGGGCGACCAGACGGGCAUUUAAUGCCCUUGUCCCCUGCCGUCAGAGUUAGGUAGGGGCACUGUUGUGCACUGUUGUACCAACCUGCGUUUUUACCUUUCUACCCCCUCUUCCUACGCUGCCACCUGUGGGUCCCCCCUUCAGACUAUAAAAGGGAGGCCCAUGCGCACGUAGAAGGGGUUCGGUCCAUUCGACACCCACAGCACCACCAUACGCUCGCACACUCGAGCAAGAUCAAAUAACAAACACAAAGCAGCAGUAGGGGUGUUAUCUCUCCGGAGAGCCCCGAAGCUGGGUAAAGAUUACCCGUCUCCCCGCGCGCGCUCGACCUCGAUCUGCUCUGCGCACGAUCCCCGUUCCCUUGCCGAACCAGAAGGGGCCCCCAGUGCCCCAUAGGUGCUCGAGGCCACAGAGAUACGCCCCGACAAUCUUCACUCAACCAAACCUCAACCUCAGGCAAACUCGAUGGGUCGAAAUGAUUCAAGAGUACAAUCAAAGUAUUGAAUAUACUCCUGGCAAGGCGAAUGUGAUUGCAGAUGCCUUGAGUAGAAAGGCUUAUUGCAACAACUUAAUUCUCAAGCCCUUCCAACCGGAUCUUUGUGAAGCUUUCCGCAAGCUGAAUCUUCAAGUUGUUCCUUAAGGCUUUCUUGCCAACCUCAUAGUCUCUCCUACUUUGGAAGAUCAAAUUCGCGAGGCACAACUCCUGGAUACCAUGGUGAAGAAAGUGAAACGUGGUAUUGACAAGGGCAUUUCCAAAUACAAGUGCUAUCACUUGGAUGACAAAGAUACUCUUUUCUUCGAGGAUCGUAUUGUGGUUCCUAAAGGCAAUCUGAGAAAAGUCAUCAUGAAUGAGGCACACAAUUCUCUCCUAUCCAUUCAUCCUGGAAGUACGAAGAUGUACCAUGACCUCAAGCAGUCAUAUUGGUGGACUCGAAUGAAGCGAGAAAUUGCUCAAUUCGUGAGUGAAUGUGAUGUCUGUAGAAGGGUGAAAGCAGAACACCAAAGAACAGCUGGUCUCCUCCAACCUCUUGCUAUUCCAGAAUGGAAGUUUGAUCAUAUCAAGAUGGACUUCGUGACUGGUUUUCCUAAGUCCAAGCGUGGAAAUGAUGCCAUCUUCAUUGUCAUUGACAAGCUUACUAAAGUGGCUCAUUUUCUUCCUGUCAAAGAAUCUAUCACAGCAGCUCAGCUGGCAGAGCUAUACACCUCCAGAAUUGUCUCCUUGCACGGUAUUCCGCAAUUGAUCUCUUCAGACCGUGGAAGCAUUUUCACUUCUAAGUUCUGGGACUCCUUUCAGAAGGCCAUGGGCACCAACAUUCGUUUCAGCACAGCUUUCCAUCCUCAAACAAGUGGACAAGUCGAGCGAGUCAAUCAAAUCCUUGAAGAUAUGCUCAGGGCUUGUGUCAUUUCCUUUGGCAUGAAGUGGGAAGAGUGUCUCCCAUAUGCCGAGUUCUCCUACAACAACAGCUUCCAAGCGAGUUCGGGCAAGGCCCCAUUCGAAAUUCUCUAUGGCAGAAAGUGCCAUACUCCUCUCAACUGGUCCGAGACAGGUGAACGCCAACUUCUUGGCAACGACUUGAUCACAAAAGCCGAAGAAAUGUGCAAAGUCAUUCGUGAGAAUCUUAAAGCCGCGUAAUCGCGCCAGAAGGGCUAUUAUGAUGACAAGCACCGUGAUGUGGCUUUUGAAAUCGGAGACCAUGUCUACCUCCGUGUCUCUCCAAUGAAAGGCACUCGUCGCUUCGGUAUCAAAGGGAAGCUUGCCCCUAGAUACGUGGGUCCUUUCAAGAUCAUUGGCAAAAGAGGCGAUCUCGCCUAUCAACUUGAGCUUCCAUCCAACUUUGCAAACGUGCAUGAUGUGUUUCACGUGUCACAGCUCCGCAAGUGCUUCAAGAUUCCUGAACGCACUAUCAACUUUGAAGAAAUUGACCUCCAAGAAGAUCUCUCUUAUCAUGAGCACCCUGUUGCUAUUCUUGAAGAAACCGAGCGCAAGACUCGCAACAAGUCAAUCAAAUUCCUGAAAGUAAAGUGGUCACACCAUUCCGACCGAGAAGCCACCUGGGAGCGCGAGGAUGACCUCCGUUCCGAAUAUCCAGAGUUCUUUCAAUCCUAGAUCUCGGGACGAGAUCCUCUUGUAGUGGUGGAGUGUUGUAACACCCCGGAUGUAUCUUUCCAUAUUUGUAACUCCAACUCUUUCCAUUUUCGGAUAUGUGCUAUGAUAUUCCCUCCGUGGUUGGGUUUUGUUUUCGUUUUGCAUUUUGUCCAUGUCAUGCAUCUCAUAUCAUGUCAUCAUGUGCAUCUCAUAUGCAUACGUGUUCGUCUCAUGCAUCCAAGCAUUUUCCCCGUUGUCCGUUUUGCAUUCCGACACUCCCACAUGCACCGGCGCACUCCUCUUGUUCUUUUUCCGUGUGCGGGUGUUGAACAUUCUCGGAAUGGACCGAGCCUUGCCAAGUGGCCCUGGUAUAUCACCGGUAGACCACCUGUCAAGUUUCGGGUCAUUUGGAGCUCGUUUAGUACUCCAACGGUUAACCGCACUCUCGCAAAGGCCUCUUUUAAGUUGCAGCCCAACACCCCUCCAAAACAGCCCUAUAACCCACCUAAGUCACCUCCAUGCUCUCGGUCGUUCGAUCACGAUCGUGUGGGCGAAAACCGCACCCCAUUUGGAGUCUCCUAGCUCCUUCUACCUAUAAAAACACCCCCUCCCCCGGAUUUCCGGACGAAAUCCGGGCGGCCGGACACGUCCGCCCGCGCCGCCGGACGAAUCGCGCGCCGCCACGUGGGCAGCCCGCGCCCCACAUCGCNNNNNNNNNNNNNNNNNNNNNNNNNNNNNNNNNNNNNNNNNNNNNNNNNNNNNNNNNNNNNNNNNNNNNNNNNNNNNNNNNNNNNNNNNNNNNNNNNNNNNNNNNNNNNNNNNNNNNNNNNNNNNNNNNNNNNNNNNNNNNNNNNNNNNNNNNNNNNNNNNNNNNNNNNNNNNNNNNNNNNNNNNNNNNNNNNNNNNNNNNNNNNNNNNNNNNNNNNNNNNNNNNNNNNNNNNNNNNNNNNNNNNNNNNNNNNNNNNNNNNNNNNNNNNNNNNNNNNNNNNNNNNNNNNNNNNNNNNNNNNNNNNNNNNNNNNNNNNNNNNNNNNNNNNNNNNNNNNNNNNNNNNNNNNNNNNNNNNNNNNNNNNNNNNNNNNNNNNNNNNNNNNNNNNNNNNNNNNNNNNNNNNNNNNNNNNNNNNNNNNNNNNNNNNNNNNNNNNNNNNNNNNNNNNNNNNNNNNNNNNNNNNCGUCGCCUGAAGGUCGCCGCCCGUCCCCGCGCCGCCGCGCCGGAGCUCUGCCAGAUCCGGCCGGCGCCCCCAACUCCGGCGACCUCGACCCUCCGGAUCUCAGAUCCAAAACACUAGGUUGACUUUUCCCAUACCCCGAAAUCUCUCUAAGUCAUUUUCUGUAAUAAUUUUCGUGCAUUUUCAUCGCAUCACACCUCCGCAACCGUGGCUCCGUUUUGGGCUUAUAAUAUGUCAAAUUGUUUGCCUCGAAGAGUACAUCAUUUCGUUCCAUUGCAUCAUUUGCAUUUGAGCUCAUCUUGAUGCCCGAAAUGCUGUUGGAAGAGGGCUUCAGAUUGUUAGUUUCUGUUUCUUAACAGAACUUGCACUUUUAUCAUUUUUGCCAUGAUUAAUGUGUGCACCUUAUGAACUUGAGCCCUACAUGUGUGUUAAACUAUGCCAUGCCAUCUUUCCAGGGGUAUAUGCCAUGUAUUUUUGUGAGUUAUGUGGUGACUAGAACAAGCAUGCAAACUAGGGAUGAUAAUGUUGCUGAUUUCAGGAACUUAAAGUUUUCACUGUCUUGUCCUGCUGUUUUUUUUAUGCCAUAUGUUCAUAUUGUUACAGAGAGAUCCAUGCCCUUUUUGAGCAUGAUCAGUAAGGGUGUUUUGAACAUAUGGAUGUGCUCUAUCCAUCUAUGCCUUUGUUGGCAUUUAUGGAGUAGUCUAGAAUGUCAUUUUCGUGCUCUACUUUUGCUUGAAAAUGUUUCCUGGCAGAUUGCUUGCAUGAGAUUCAAUUUUCACGAGGUCGUUGUAGUUGAUCCGUGUAUGCUAUGAUGUUGUUCUUGCCAUGUAUAGCUUCUAUGCCAUGUCUUCUUAAUGGGUGUAUGCUUAGUUUAUCAUGAGAUGCUCUGUAGUGAGUGCAUCGAGCUCACGAACAUGCCUACUUGUUAUCUGUUUUUGCCAUGCCCAGUUUUCUGCUAAGUCUGAAAUCUGUAAUAAAAACUUGCUAUGUUUACAUGGGUGCCACCAUUUCUUAUGGUCCUUUUUGGCUUAUGGUCAGUAAGGGACUAUUGAUAUAUGCUUUGAGUAGAAUCAUGUCAUGCCUUGUUUUGCUAUUAUAAGUUCCUGUAGCUUGUUGUUUUCUUGCUCUAAACAUGCCUUCCUGAUGUUAAUUCCUGGCAUGCUAGUAUUUUCACUAAGUCUGUGAACCUGAUAUUUUUUGCACUUUUACCAUGCUUAUUUGAACAUGUUCUGAUGUGAUCUAGCCGUAGCUCAGUGUUCCUCUUUUGAUAAGCAUCUCCUGUAGAUCACUGCCAUAUGCUUUGUUUUUAUGCUGGGGUGCUAUAGCAUAGUUUCUUGUUGCAUGCUAAGUAGCAUCGUGCUGUUAAACGCAGAUUUGUGCCAUUAUUGUUUUGCUUGCCAUUUGCAAACCGUGCAUCCUAUUCCGGUGAUCUUUAUAUCGAUUUCAACCGAAAUCUUCUCAUCUUUCCAGCGGCAUACUUGGUUUGCCAAGUUGAUGCCCGGUUCAUCAUUUUCCUUCUGGAGCAUACAUAUGCAUUGCAUAUCACAUCUCGCAUAGCAUGUCAUGUAUUGCAUCAUAUUGCUUGUGCAUUGUUCCUUGUUUGAUUGUGGUUCCGUUGCUUGUGUUCUUGCUUUGGGUAGAGCCGGGAGACGAGUACGUGUACGAGGAACCUGUUGAGAACGCCUACGAGGAUCAAGCCUUCGACAACUCUGAGAACCUUGCAGGCAAGAUGACCAUACCUUCGAUAUCACUUCUAUCUUUGCUUGCUAGAUGCUCGCUCUUUUGCUAUGCCUAUGUUGUGAUACCUACCACUUGCUAUAUCAUGUCACCCAUAUUGCCAUGUCAACCUCUAACCAUCCUUUCCUAGCAAACCGUUGAUUAGCUAUGUUACCACUUUGCUCAGCCCCUCUUAUAGCGUUGCUAGUUGCAGGUGAAGAUGAAGUUUGUUUCUUGUUGGAACACGGAUAUUUUGAGAUAUCACAAUAUCUAUUGUUUUAAUUAAUGCAUCUAUAUACUUGGUAAAGGGUGGAAGGCUUGGCCUUAUGCCUGGUGUUUUGUUCCACUCUUGCCGCCCUAGUUUCCGUCAUACCGGUGUUAUGUUCCCAGAUUUUGCGUUCCUUACGCGGUCGGGUGAUUUAUGGGACCCCCCUGACAGUUCGCUUUGAAUAAAACUUGUCCAGCAAGGCCCAACCUUGGUUUUACCAUUUGCCUCACCUAGCCCUUUUUUUCCCUUGGGUUUCCGGAGCCCGAGGGUCAUCUUUAUUUUACCCCCCCGGGCCAGUGCUCCUUCGAGUGUUGGUCCAACCUGAGCGAUGUCCGGCGCCCCCUGGGCAACCAGGGUCUAUGCCAACCCGUCGUCUUGCUCAUCCGGUGUGCCCUGAGAACGAGAUAUGUGCAGCUCCUAUCGGGAUUUGUCGGCACAUCGGGCGGCUUUGCUGGUCUUGUUUUACCAUCGUCGAAAUGUCUUGAUGUACCGGGAUACCGAGUCUGAUUGGAGUGUCUCGGGUGAAGGUCUAUUCCUUCGUUGAUCGCGAGAGCUUGUUAUGGGCUAAGUUGGGACACCCCUGCAGGGUAUAAACUUUCGAGAGCCGUGCCCGCGGUUAUGUGACAGAUGGGAAUUUGUUAAUGUCCGGUUGUAGAAAACCCGAAGUUGACCUUAAUUAAAAUACAUCAACCGGGUGUGUUACCGUGAUGGUCUCUUCUCGGCGGAGUCCGGGAAGUGAACACGGUGUUGGAGUUAUCUUUGACGUAAGUAGUUUCAGGAUCACUUCUUGAUCGCUACUAGCUUCAUGACCGUGCCUUGCUUCUCUUCUCGCUCUCUUUUGCGAUGUAGCCACCAUAUAUGCUAGUCGCUUGCUGCAGCUCCACCUCUUUACACCAGCCUUUCCUUAAGCUUAAAUAGUCUUGAUCUCGCGGGUGUGAGAUUGCUGAGUCCCCGUGGCUCACAGAUUCUACCAAAAUAGAUGCAAGUACCGACGAUACCAGCGCAGAUGGCGCAACUGAGCUGAAGUGGGAAUUUGAUGAGGCCCUUGGUCGUUACUAUGUUUCAUUUCCAGACGAUUAAUAGUGGAGCCUAGUUGGGGCGAUCGGGGAUCUGUGUUGCAUUUGGGGUAUUCUUCUUUUAUUUUGGUUCCGUAGUCGGACCUUGAGUGUAAUCUGAAUGAUGGAUGUUUAUUUAUGUAUUGUGUGAAGUGGCGACUGUAAGCCAACUAUGUAUCUUUUCCCUUAUGUAUUACAUGGAUUGUGCGAAGAUUACCUCACUUGCGACAUUGCUUUCAAUGCGGUUAUGCCUCUAAGUCGUGCUUCGACACGUGGGAGAUAUAGCCGCAUCGAGGGCGUUACAUUA